rnacentral:rRNA from 1 species
ACGGAGGAUCCAAGCGUUAUCCGGAUUUAUUGGGUUUAAAGGGUCCGCAGGCGGAUUAUUAAGUCAGUGGUGAAAUCCUACAGCUUAACUGUAGAACUGCCAUUGAUACUGGUAAUCUUGAGUAUAGUUGAGGUGGGCGGAAUGUGUCAUGUAGCGGUGAAAUGCAUAGAUAUGACACAGAACACCGAUUGCGAAGGCAGCUCACUAAGCUAUUACUGACGCUCAUGGACGAAAGCGUGGGGAGCAAACAGG